rnacentral:rRNA from 1 species
GGGUGAGUAACACGUGGAUAACCUACCUAUAAGACUGGGAUAACUUCGGGAAACCGGAGCUAAUACCGGAUAAUAUAUUGAACCGCAUAGUUCAAUAGUGAAAGACGGUUUUGCUGUCACUUAUAGAUGGAUCCGCGCCGCAUUAGCUAGUUGGUAAGGUAACGGCUUACCAAGGCAACGAUGCGUAGCCGACCUGAGAGGGUGAUCGGCCACACUGGAACUGAGACACGGUCCAG